ACAACCCCGCAGUGAUUAUUGUCGGCAAUAAUGGCAAGCUUCAUUAUGACCAUCAAAAUGAUGGUUCCACACAAGCAUUGGCAUCAUGUCAAAGAGAUUUUCGUAACAAGCCGUAUCCCGUCCGUGCAAAGGUUGUUUACUAUCAGAGGACACUAUCUGUAUUAAUAAACAAUGGCUUUACUCCA